UUCCCUCUCGUAACCCCAAGUUUUUUCCCCACCGCCCCUCUGUCGCUGUUCUUUCGGUUUUGUUGGUUGGGCGCUCCUCUUGCCGACUCGCCUCGGUUUUGGGUGCCCCUUUGGCCGACUCACCUUGCAUUCCCUCUGGAAACCCCAAGUUUUUUCCCCACCACGCCUCUGUCGCUGUUCUUUCAGUUUUGUUGAUUGGGCGCUCCUCUUACUGACUCGCCUCGGUUAUUGGAGCCCCUUUGGCCGACUCGCCUUGCGUUCCGUCUGGAAACAGUUAUCUUUUCUUUUUAACAGCUUGCUCACCCUGAAAUUGGCUCAACCGGAGAUAGGGUCUAGCAGCUGGAAGAGGAUCGCACGUCUUGCAGUGUCUGGUGCGCCCUCGGUGGCCCUUGAAAAUCUGGAGGACCGAUUACCAUCCAUGCCCGGUCGUACUCAUAACCGCAUCAGGUCUCCAAGGUGAACAGCCUCUGGUCAAUAGAACAAUGUAGGUAAGGGAAGUUAGCAAAAUGGAUCCGUAACUUUGAGAAAAGGAUUGGCUCUGAGGGCUGGGUGUAGGGGUCUGCAUCCUCAACCCGUGGGCUAUCGGCAGUCUGCCCGAGCUGCUAUCGUGGAGAGGGUAGGUAGUGACGUGCUGAUUGGGCUAUGGACGUAGAAUGUCCUCUCGCGGGGGAUUUUCCCUAGGCAGCGAACAGUCAACUCAAAACUGGUAUGGAAAAGAGGAAUUCGACUGUUUAAUUAAAACAAAGCAUUGUGAUGGUCCCUGCGGAUGCUGACGCAAUGUGAUUUUUGCCUAGUGCUCUGAAUGUCAAAGUGAAUAAAUUCAACCAAGCGCGAGUAAAUGGCGGGAGUAACUAUGACUCUCUUAAGGUAGCCAAAUGCCUCGUCAUCUAAUUAGUGAUGCGCAUGAAUGGAUUAACAAGAUUCCCACUGUCCCUAUCUAUUAUCUAG
rnacentral:ncRNA from 1 species